rnacentral:rRNA from 1 species
AGUGAACGCUGGCGGUAGGCCUAACACAUGCAAGUCGAACGGCAGCACAGUAAGAGCUUGCUCUUACGGGUGGCGAGUGGCGGACGGGUGAGGAAUACAACGGACUCUACUUUUUCGUGGGGGAUAACGUAGGGAAACUUACGCUAAUACCGCAUACGACCUACGGGUGAAAGCAGGGGAUCGUCGGACCUUGCGCGAUUGAAUGCGCCGAUGUCGGAUUAGCUAGUUGGCGGGGUAAAGGCCCACCAAGGCGACGAUCCGUAGCUGGUGUGAGAGGCUGAUCAGCCACAUUGGAACUGAAACACGGUCCAGACUCCUACGGGAGGCAGCAGUGGGGAAUAUUGGACAAUGGGCGCAAGCCUGAUCCAGCCAUACCGCGUGGGUGAAGAAGGCCUUCGGGUUGUAAAGCCCUUUUGUUGGGAAAGAAAAGCAGCAGGUUAAUACCCCGCUGUUCUGACGGUACCCAAAGAAUAAGCACCGGCUAACUUCGUG